CAGUAGGGAGGAAGGUAGUGUAGUUAACACCUGCAUUAUUUGACGUUACCUACAGAAGAAGCACCGGCUAACUCCGUGCCAGCAGCCGCGGUAAUACGGAGGGUGCGAGCGUUAAUCGGAAUUACUGGGCGUAAAGCGCAUGCAGGCGGCCUGUUAAGUCAGAUGUGAAAGACCCGGGGCGUUAACCUCGGAAUUGCAUUUGAAACUAGGCAGGCUAGAGUCUUGUAGAGGGGGUAGGAAUUUCAGGUGUAGCGGUGAAAUAGCGUAGAGAUCUGAAGGAAUACCAGUGGCGAAGGCGGCCCCCUCGGACAAAGACUGACGCUCAGAUGCGAAAGCGUGGGGAGCAAACAGGAUUAGAUACCCUGGUAG
rnacentral:rRNA from 1 species